AUAUUGGACAAUGGGGGCAACCCUGAUCCAGCCAUGCCGCGUGAGUGAUGAAGGCCUUCGGGUUGUAAAGCUCUUUUGGCGGGGACGAUGAUGACGGUACCCGCAGAAUAAGCCCCGGCUAACUUCGUGCCAGCAGCCGCGGUAAGACGAAGGGGGCAAGCGUUGUUCGGAAUUACUGGGCGUAAAGGGCGCGUAGGCGGUUUGCUUAGUCAGGCGUGAAAGCCCUGGGCUUAACCUGGGAUGUGCGCUUGAUACUGGCAGGCUUGAGUGUGGGAGAGGUUGGUGGAAUUCCCAGUGUAGAGGUGAAAUUCGUAGAUAUUGGGAAGAACACCGGUGGCGAAGGCGGCCAACUGGACCACAACUGACGCUGAGGCGCGAAAGCGUGGGGAGCAAACA
rnacentral:rRNA from 1 species